rnacentral:rRNA from 1 species
GAAAGCGGCUUGCUAGAUCGUAACUGACGUUGAGGCUCGAAAGUAUGGGUAGCAAACGGGAUUAGAUACCCCGGUAGUCCAUACCGUAAACGAUGGGUGCUAGUUGUUAAGAGGUUUCCGCCUCCUAGUGACGUAGCAAACGCAUUAAGCACCCCGCCUGAGGAGUACGGCCGCAAGGCUAAAACUUAAAGGAAUUGACGGGGACCCGCACAAGCGGUGGAGCAUGUGGUUUAAUUCGAAGAUACGCGAAAAACCUUACCAGGUCUUGACAUACCAAUGAUCGCUUUUGUAAUGAAAGCUUUUCUUCGGAACAUUGGAUACAGGUGGUGCAUGGUCGUCGUCAGCUCGUGUCGUGAGAUGUUGGGUUAAGUCCCGCAACGAGCGCAACCCUUGUUAUUAGUUGCCAGCAUUUAGUUGGGCACUCUAAUGAGACUGCCGGUGAUAAACCGGAGGAAGGUGGGGACGACGUCAGAUCAUCAUGCCCCUUAUGACCUGGGCAACACACGUGCUACAAUGGGAAGUACAACGAGUCGCAAACCGGCGACGGUAAGCUAAUCUCUUAAAACUUCUCUCAGUUCGGACUGGAGUCUGCAACUCGACUCCACGAAGGCGGAAUCGCUAGUAAUCGCGAAUCAGCAUGUCGCGGUGAAUACGUUCCCGGGUCUUGUACACACCGCCCGUCAAAUCAUGGGAGUCGGAAGUACCCAAAGUCGCUUGGCUAACUUUUAGAGGCCGGUGCCUAAGGU